AACGAACGCUGGCGGUGUGGAUUAGGCAUGCAAGUCGUACGCGAAAGUGGGAGCAAUCCCAUGAGUAGAGUGGCGAACGGGUGAGUAACGCGUGAGGAACCUGCCUUCGACAGGGGGAUAACACUCCCAACGGGGUGCUAAUACCGCAUGAGACCACGGGACCGCAUGGUCCUGAGGUCAAAGAUGGCCUCUAUUUAUAAGCUAUCGGUCGAGGAUGAGCCCGCGUACCAUUAGCUAGUCGGCAGGGUAAUGGCCUACCAAGGCAACGAUGGUUAGCUGGUCUGAGAGGAUGGCCAGCCACACUGGAACUGAGACACGGUCCAGACUCCUACGGGAGGCAGCAGUGAGGAAUCUUGCGCAAUGGGGGAAACCCUGACGCAGCAACGCCGCGUGAGUGAAGAAGGCCUUCGGGUCGUAAAGCUCUGUCAGAUGGGAAGAAAUGGAUGGGGGCUAAUAUCGUCCAUCCUUGACGGUACCAUCAGAGGAAGCACCGGCUAACUCCGUGCCAGCCGCCGCAGUAAGAC
rnacentral:rRNA from 1 species